CAGUAGCCGCGGUAAUACGAAGGGGGCUAGCGUUGUUCGGAUUUACUGGGCGUAAAGCGCACGUAGGCGGACUUUUAAGUCAGGGGUGAAAUCCCGGGGCUCAACCCCGGAACUGCCUUUGAUACUGGAAGUCUUGAGUAUGGUAGAGGUGAGUGGAAUUCCGAGUGUAGAGGUGAAAUUCGUAGAUAUUCGGAGGAACACCAGUGGCGAAGGCGGCUCACUGGACCAUUACUGACGCUGAGGUGCGAAAGCGUGGGGAGCAAACAGGAUUAGAUACCCCUGUAGUCCCUGUCUCUUAACA
rnacentral:rRNA from 1 species